UGGUCCGCUUGUUUGGGCGACGCCUUUCAGGCUGCCGUCACCUCCCAUGAUGCACCGGGGUACGGCAAGCUGGUGGGAGCUUUCCACAACGAGUUUGGCCUGUUAAACAGAGUGAGAAACAGCGUGAUGCAUCUGGAGUCUCAGGAGAAUAAACUCAUGUUUCCGUGUGCUUUCUCUCCGCUGAAGUAACUUCCUGUCGCCACACCUGGGUCUCCACAGCAACAGAGACUGUCCUCUGUGGGCCAAUCACAGCUCAGCGUUAGCUCCAGCUGUAAACUAACGUGUAACAUCAAUAAUAAGUCUCUGUAUUAGUUUUCAAUAACAAUCUCUUACUUUUAAUACUUUAACUACAUGUUCCUGAUGGUACUUCUACUGCAGGACAUUUACUGUACCAGUAGUAUUACAGUGUUGUAUUAGUACUUUUACUGCAGUAAUCUGAAUACUUCUUCCCCUGCUGAACAUUUUGAACAUUAAACUUUUCAUUUCCGGUGCAAA